rnacentral:rRNA from 1 species
AGCGAACGCUGGCGGCAGGCCUAACACAUGCAAGUCGAACGAAGCCUUUGGGCUUAGUGGCGGACGGGUGAGUAACACGUGGGAACGUACCUUUUGGUUCGGAAUAACGCAGAGAAAUUUGCGCUAAUACCGAAUGAGCCCUUCGGGGGAAAGAUUUAUCGCCGAAAGAUCGGCCCGCGUUGGAUUAGGUAGUUGGUGUGGUAAAGGCGCACCAAGCCUACGAUCCAUAGCUGGUCUGAGAGGAUGAUCAGCCACACUGGGACUGAGACACGGCCCAGACUCCUACGGGAGGCAGCAGUGGGGAAUCUUGCGCAAUGGGCGAAAGCCUGACGCAGCCAUACCGCGUGAAUGAUGAAGGUCUUAGGAUUGUAAAAUUCUUUUACCAGGGACGAUAAUGACGGUACCUGGAGAAAAAGCCCCGGCUAACUUCGUGCCAGCCGCCGCAGUAA